rnacentral:other from 2 species
AGUUUACUGCGUUGCCCGUCCCCGGACGCAUACACAAUUGAGCCAACAUAUGAAUGCCGGGAGGCCAAUGCCGGUUUCGGUGCGAGUCUUUAAGUGAGAACUCGCCAUAGAACCUGGCUCCGAUGCUCCGAAAGGAACAGAAAGCCACCCACCUGUAAAAUACAGGUUCAAUUCAUACGUCCGAACGGCAUCGUGGUUUUCAU